rnacentral:rRNA from 1 species
UACAGAGGGGCGAGCGUUAAUCGGAAUUACUGGGCGUAAAGCGUGCGCAGGCGGUUUUGUAAGACAGGCGUGAAAUCCCCGAGCUCAACUUGGGAAUUGCGCUUGGGACUGCAAGGCUAGAGUGUGUCAGAGGGGGGUAGAAUUCCACGUGUAGCAGUGAAAUGCGUAGAGAUGUGGAGGAAUACCGAUGGCGAAGGCAGCCCCCUGGGAC